rnacentral:lncRNA from 1 species
AAGAAUUGAAAAACAAAUAGCAUUUAGAACUAACCUUUUGUAUAUCAAAGUAACUUGAACUAGUAGUUAAUUUUUUUUGCAGUAUAACACUUUUUAUAUCUAAAUUUAAAGAAAAAAAACAUGAAGCACUACAGGCAAGAAUAUAAGACCAAAAUGGAGCCACCACGCAACACUAGAGGAGGAGAACGAAAGACACCAAACAGCUUUAGAGAUUCGACAGUAGCAGCGGUGGCAAUGCGACAAUUCCAGACAGGUGAUGCGGUGAGAUAACAAGCACAAUUUGGCGAGGAAAGGCACUGCGAUGGAAGAGAGAGGAACCAUGGUGAACGAUGAACCAUGGCAACGGAUGAGGCAAUGAAGAACAGAGGAAGGGAUGAACGGAAAAGUGUCGUCGAAGCCAAGAAGGACGUCGACAAAGAGGAACCAUGCAUGGUGAACUGAGGGCAAGAACGGCGAGCAGUCUUCGGCAUGGCUGAGAUCAGGUCUGAGAAGAGGGUAGGAGUGAGGUGACUGGAUCUCAAGUUCUGGGUAAGGUUGAGUCUAUGCGAGGUGCUUUAAAGCGUGUUGAUAGCUCAAAAAAGCUUGGCGAAAAGUUUUCGUCACGUUUUUUUGCACUUUUUGGCACACUUUAAAAGCAUGACAAAAGGCUGCUUUUGUUGUAGUAUUUUGUGUUAGGAGAUGUAGUGGAGAAAUCAGGUUUUGUGAGGUUAAUAUAACAUAUUUAUUUUAUUUACUAGAUGUGGAUUUGCAUAUCUUCGAAUCGGAUCCGCGGAU